GGGCGCAUUUUAGUUUGCUUGCAAACUAAAGAUGGCGACCGGCGCACGGGUGAGUAACACGUAUCCAACCUGCCGAUAACUCGGGGAUAGCCUUUCGAAAGAAAGAUUAAUAUCCGAUGGUAUAUUAAAACCGCAUGGUUUUACUAUUAAAGAAUUUCGGUUAUCGAUGGGGAUGCGUUCCAUUAGUUUGUUGGCGGGGUAACGGCCCACCAAGACUACGAUGGAUAGGGGUUCUGAGAGGAAGGUCCCCCACAUUGGAACUGAGACACGGUCCAAACUCAUACGGGAGGCAGCAGUGAGGAAUAUUGGUCAAUGGACGAGAGUCUGAACCAGCCAAGUAGCGUGAAGGAUGACUGCCCUAUGGGUUGUAAACUUCUUUUAUAUGGGAAUAAAGUAUUCCACGUGUGGGAUUUUGUAUGUACCAUAUGAAUAAGGAUCGGCUAACUCCGUGCCAGCAGCCGCGGUAAUACGGAGGAUCCGAGCGUUAUCCGGAUUUAUUGGGUUUAAAGGGAGCGUAGGUGGAUUGUUAAGUCAGUUGUGAAAGUUUGCGGCUCAACCGUAAAAUUGCAGUUGAAACUGGCAGUCUUGAGUACAGUAGAGGUGGGCGGAAUUCGUGGUGUAGCGGUGAAAUGCUUAGAUAUCACGAAGAACUCCGAUUGCGAAGGCAGCUCACUAGACUGCAACUGACACUGAUGCUCGAAAGUGUGGGUAUCAAACAGGAUUAGAUACCCUGGUAGUCCACACAGUAAACGAUGAAUACUCGCUGUUUGCGAUAUACAGUAAGCGGCCAAGCGAAAGCAUUAAGUAUUCCACCUGGGGAGUACGCCG
rnacentral:rRNA from 1 species